rnacentral:rRNA from 1 species
AAGAAAGUAAGAAAGGGCGUAUGGCGGAUGCCUAGGCUCACGGAGGCGAUGAAGGACGUGAUAAGCUGCGAUAAGCUUCGGGUAGGUGCAAAUAACCUUUGAUCCGAAGAUUUCCGAAUGGGACAACCUAGCCGUCUGAAGGACGGUUACUCAAUCUUCAAGAUUGAGAGCUAACGCAGGGAACUGAAACAUCUUAGUACCUGCAGGAAGAGAAAAUAAAUGAAUGAUUCCCCUAGUAGUGGCGAGCGAACGGGGAACAGCCCAAACCGUUGACGUCGCAAGGCGCCAGCGGGGUUGUAGGACCGCGACAUUGUACUGAAAUGGUGAGUGGAAGUAUCUGGAAAGUUACAUCACAGAAGGUGAUAAUCCUGUACACGAAGCCAGAUCAGGCAUAGCGGUAUCCUGAGUAACGCGGGACACGAGGAAUCCUGCGCGAAUCUGCCGGGACCAUCCGGUAAGGCUAAAUACUCCCGUGAGACCGAUAGCGAACGAGUACUGUGAAGGAAAGGUGAAAAG